CAAAUCCUGUCGUUUGUAAGGAACCCAGAGUAGAAGAACCUUGUUGGUUGUAAGAAAAAGUACCCUAGAGUGUUCCCAGCAUGUGCCAUUACAUGUGUUUUAUCAAUUCUAGUGUUGUCAGCGAUCCCACCAUUGUCGAUCUGUCCUGAUUUUCUAUUCCUCCUGAGUUGACAUCUCCUUUGAAAACCCCAAAGAUGAGCGAGUUUGUAGGACCGCUGAAGGAAGAGAGGGUCCCCUACAGUUGACACUUCGAAGUCUAGGAAGCAGCUGAUUGCGAACAGAGUAAAGAUGUUUAUUUUUGCUGAGAUACGUCCAGAGGAGAAUUUUGAUGAAGUGUUUCUUUAAUAAAAUAAGAAGAUGAGCACUUUACCUGCUACAUUUUGGUCCCCCUUCAACGACGCUUAUGACAGAACCACCCACCAAAGAAGGAUCAAGCAGCGGAGGAAGGAGCAGCAGGAGAGCUAUUUGGAGUCAUGGACAUGGGAGGAGAUCCUCGAUGGUAAGGGUCCAUGGAGCCAGGCUGGGGAGUACCAGCGCCCGAAGGAGGAGCUGGAGGAAGCUAAGAGGGAACGACGGAGGCAUGAGGCAUUAUAUCCUCCAUUUCAGGAGGUGAGGAGGCAGCCCCAAAAACAUUCUUUGGUGGGGCAUACGGGGAGUUGGGCUAAGUCAGGGCAGAGCCCUGACCUAACUUCCCGGGCGUACAGGAGAGAGCCGUGGAGCAAAAAGGAGCAAGUCAAGGAAUCAAGCGAGGAGCUUGACGCGAGAUUCUGGAAAGAGGUACUGGCGGAAAGGGCACGAAGGAGCACCUGUGCUUACUAUGGGGAGCGUCAGAUCAAGCAAGCACCAUGUUAUGCGGAGAUACGCACGGUAUUGCCAGUGCGCAGCUACAGCCCGGUGCGCUUGGUGAAAGCUCCUCACAGGUGUCAUGCUAGAGCCAGCAUCGAGCCAGGACCGGUGAUGCAAGCUGCAAGCAUCAGACCGCCGGUGAGGGUUCAUGGCCCAGUGUAUCCUGUUCCUGCUCCUCGUACUCUUCCUCCAGUGUGUCAGCCCAGUCCAGUACGUCCUGUUCCUGCUCUCCGCACUAGCCUUGAGGUGCGUGUUACUAGUCUGGCGCCUCCAAAGCCAGCCCCACGCAUCAGGCCUCCAGUGUGUCUGCCCAGUCCGGUACGUCCUGUUCCUGCUCCUCGCACUAGCCCUGUGGUGCGUGUUACUAGUCUGGCGCCUCCAAAGGCAGCCCCACGCAUCAGGCCUCCAUUGUGCCUGCCCAGCCCAGUACGUCCUGUUCCUGCUCCUCGCUCUAGCCCUGUGGUGCGGGUUACUAGUCUGGCGCCUCCUAAGCCAGCCCAACGCAUCAGGCCUCCAGUGCGCAGUCCCCGUCCAGAGCUUCCGGCGACAGUUCCCCGUCCAGAGCUUCCGGCGACAGUUCCCCGUCCAGAGCUUCCGGCGACAGUUCCCCGUCCAGAGCCUCUGGCGACAGUUCCCCGUCCAGAGCUUCCGGCGACAGUUCCCCGUCCAGAGCUUCCAGCGACAGUUCCCUGUCCAGAGCUGCCGGCGACAGUUCCCCGUCCAGAGCUUCCGGCGACAGUUCCCCGUCCAGAGCUUCCGGCGACAGUUCCCCGUCCAGAGCUUCCGGCGACAGUUCCCCGUCCAGAGCUUCCGGCGACAGUUCCCCGUCCAGAGCUUCCGGUGACGUCCUACAGUCCGGAACCGACAGAGAUGGCCUACAGUCUGGAACCGACAGAGACGGCCUACAGUCCAGAACCGACAGAGACGGCCUACAGUCCGGAACCGACAGAGACGCUCCUCAGCCCGGAGUCCCCAGCGAUGCUCCUCAGCCCGGAGUCUCCAGCGACGCCGCGCAGCCCAGAGUUUUCUGAACCGGAGCUCCGCCCAGAGCCAGA
rnacentral:lncRNA from 1 species